rnacentral:rRNA from 1 species
UACGUAGGGCGCAAGCGUUUGUCCGGAAUUAUUGGGGCGUAAAGGGCUCGUAGGCGGUCUGUUGCGUCAGGAGUGAAAACUCGGGGCUCAACCCCCAGCCUGCAGUGGGUACGGGCAGACUAGAGUGCGGUAGGGGAGAUUGGAAUUCCUGGUGUAGCGGUGGAAUGCGCAGAUAUCAGGAGGAACACCGAUGGCGAAGGCAGAUCUCUGGGCCGUAACUGACGCUGAGGAGCGAAAGCGUGGGGAGCGAACAGG